GCCCCAGUGGUGGAAUUGGUAGACACGCGUGACUCAAAAUCACGUGCCGAAAGGCGUGCUGGUUCAAAUCCGGCCUGGGGCACCA
rnacentral:tRNA from 1 species